AUCUUUCUCUCAAGCUAUGGAUGAAUGGGGAAGUGAUUCAAGGCUUGAAGAACCACAAAAGUGUCAUGAUCCAGGACAAAAAGGUUGUUUCAAGAAGAAGAAGAAGGAGAAGAAGAAGAUGAUCAAGACUUGUUCUACUUCGUGAUAGAAACAAUGACGCUAUCUUACCUGAGCUUUACUAAUUGGUAUAUUCCCUUUUUCUGGUCUUUUUUUCUUGACCUUGUAAGACCUUUUCUCUACUCUUUUCUGUCUUCUUACUAUUUCCAUCUUCGAGAUUUCUCAAUUCUGUCGAGUUUCUACAUUAGUUGUUUAAUUUGACUAAAUCGAUCAAGAUUUUGUUGUAUACUCUUAUGAUUCAUAUUCCCACUCUUUUAUGUAUCCCUCUUGAGCUGCCUAAUUUUUUUUUUCUCUAAUCUCUCUUACUAUGUAUUUCUUUAUAGAGAUCCUAUAGAAAGAUGUUUGUAUAUAAAAACAUUCUAUUGCG